AUCGUGAGCCGCGUUCUCUCGUGCAGCAUAAUAACUGGAGAAUUUUCGUCGAGCCGCGGGAAAAAAAACGGUGACCCCGCCUUUUCCUGUUUCCUCCGCACUGUUGUUUCAGAUAACUGCGGCGUUUGAGCCUUGCUGCCCGUUAUCAUCAGAAGCUUCACCACAUAGCAACAGCAGCUUCACCACAUAGCAAGCUGAAGGCCAACCAUUGUAUAGAGUGAUACCUCUAUCACUCUUGGUUUGUGGAAAUCGCGGGCCGUACGCCUUUUUGUGACAAUUAACAUAUCCGCAUAAGUGUCACAAAAAGGCGUACGCCUCCCGUUUUGGUACUCUCCCUACGUGGUGAAGUUCAUUUUUAAGAGUGUGGAAAAAGGAAACUGAAGGAAACGGUCACCCUUUUCUUUUCGACGGAAACUGACACACUUGGAAAAUUACGUUGAUCCGUAUAGCGUUGACACACUCUUGCAGCCGGAAAGGGUUGACUGUAACUUCUGGUGCUUUCAAAAUGGCGACUGGCAGCUAGGAACCUACCAGGACGGCCUCUCAUGUGCGUAUGGCAUAGAACCCGGAGUCUGCAAGAGUGGUUCAUGUCAUCGGAAAACGCAUGAUCCCUUCGUCUACCAAACUGAAGGCCCCGAAGAAACGGAUGACGAGGACGAUUGGGAAGACGACUGACAUGUUGCGGGAAACCAGCGACCAAGGGCUGGGAAGAGAACCAGUACAAUGAGAUUGGUCCUAUAAUAAAGGAUGGUUUUCCUGA